rnacentral:tRNA from 1 species
AAAGAAAUAGUACAUAGAGUAUAUUUGGUUUCCAUCCAGAAGAAAUAAAAUUUGUUUA